AGUAUAUUAAAAUUUAACCGAACCAGUUUGAUUUCACGAGGUCUCGAUUCUAAUUUCAAUUCCAUCUAAUUCAAAAAUGAUUUCUGAUUUUUGACGAUUUCAAUUUGACAACAGUAAAAGAAGAUUCUCCAAUUCAGGAGGGGAGAAGAAGAACAACUAGGAUUACACAUAAGACUCGAGUAAGAAAGCCAAUCCACCAACUUGUUGGCUGAUCUGUUUGGCCACGUAAUCCUAUAGCUCUCCAAGGCAAGAGCACAACGGCAGCAAUUUCCCAUGGAAUUUACUCAUUCUCAUCUGCACAACACAAUGCUGCCAAAGAAUCCCAUUCCGUAGAUGCUGGUAAAGUAACAUCAACAACAUUGAAUACCAUUAAAUAAUGUACGUUUUAACCCAUUUUAUUACUUUAAUUCAAUACAAAACAUAUUGAGCUUAACAACACAACCAGCUUGAUUUCGCCCCAUUCGGUCAAGAUAUGUGAGUUCAAGUCGAAGCCAAUUGUAUAAAAAUAUAUAUAUAAUCAUACGAUAUAAUUAACCAUACAGGCAUGUCAAAAGUAUUAUGGUUGCAAGGACGUAUAGGAGCAUAGUUAUGUUAUUCAGAAAGUGAUGAAACAAAAAUGUCAACUUUUCCUACAUCUAAGAUCUAAUCAAGUUACUCAUAAGCCACAAUCUAAUUUUCCAUUAGAACACCAUGCGCAUAAGUCAUGUAAUUAAUUAUAUUGUCUUACUAUAAUAACUUUAAGUUGAAAAAAAUUGUGCAUUGGUGAAGACAAUUUAACAAGUAGCAAGCAUUGAAGCAAUGCUUAAUCUUCUGCAAAUAGGUAAGGGAAUAAAAAAAAAUGUCAUAAAAAAAAUGUUAAUUCCCCCUUUGGAUUGAAACUCAAUCUAAUACAUUAAAUUGCAGAGUGAUUGACUUUGUUUCUGAUGCAGAAUUUAUUCUUGCACAACAAAGACAAGUAUGUUACAAUAUUUUUUUUUUUCUUACCAAAAAUUAUCUAGAAUUUAUCAUAUACUCAAGUCACAAACUUGCUAAGCCACCUAUUUUAUAUGUAAAACCCAUUAUACAUAUUGUGUCUUGGCUCCAUGAUAAACGAAUUUAAGUAAGAAUUUUCUCAGUUUUUAUAUCACAAUGCAAGUGAGAUAAAUUGCACAAUGCAUCGAUAAGAAGUUGAAUUAUAUAGCAUAUACAUCAUUAAAAUUUCAUAUGAGCAAGUGCACUAAGAAAAAUAAUCAAAAUCCAAAUUCCAGCUAUAAUUAAGAGUAAAUCACCUGCUUACCCUUUGGUCAACGAACAUGGAGAAAGGGAAAGAAAAUUACUUUGGGCACAUACUAUGACAACAAUAGAGAGCACGCUUGUAAAUAAUCAUGUCCCUUGCAUGAAAUGCUGACAAAUGUGCU
rnacentral:misc_RNA from 1 species